CCCUUAGAUGUUCUGGGCCGCACGCGUGCUACACUGAGUGGAUCAGCGGGCCAGGUUGCGCGAAAGCGUUUCCUAAUCUUGAAAUCCGCUCGUGAUGGGGAUUGACGGUUGCAAUUUUCCGUCAUGAACGAGGAAUACCUUGUAAGCGCGGGUCAUCAUCCCGCGCUGAAUACGUCCCUGCCCUUUGUACACACCGCCCGUCGCUCCUACCGAUUGAGUGGUCCGGUGAGGCUUUGGGAUCUGAGCGGAAAGAGCGUUUCGCUGUUUCUGCUCGGAAAACUCAGUCGAACCUUAUCAUUUAGAGGAAGGAGAAGUCGUAACA
rnacentral:rRNA from 1 species